CUCCGGAUAGUAUAGUGGUGAUUACGUCGGGCUGUAACUGGGACAAAAGUAACCUGAAGAUCGCGUGUUCGAUUCACGCUCUGGAGA
rnacentral:tRNA from 1 species